UGUCCGGACUUAAUAAAAGACUAAAUAAAAGAUACCUAUCAUUCUGUCCAUUGUUGAUAUGGCAACAGAACACACCUUGAAUACCACUAGAAUUAACUGCAGCAGUCCAUGACCUACAUUUUUUAACUGGUUAAUUUUGCCUCAUUUUUUGCUCUGACCACAUAUAUAUCAACGUUCAGAAAAUAACAAGGAAGGUUUAAUGGGCUGCAAUACCGCAGAAAGUUGGGCCCAAGGCACGUCAGCUCCAAUCCAGGCCGUAUAUCCUAAGGUCCAUCACAACUAAGAAAAGCCCAUCAUCCAAUGUGGGCCCAUCUUCAUAAGCAAGUGAAGUGAAUUCCAUUCUACUUAUUUAAUGCAACCAAUUCUACUACUAUGUGAUAUAUAAACUAUGUGAUAUAUAAAUCCAGUGUUAGAAGAGUUAAUGUUUUACUUAUCUUUUUAAUUAUAAAACAACAUGAACAUAUUUGAUUUAUAUAGUUGUACAUGUCUAAAUCUUCAAAUAACUAUAUAAUAUUAUAAAAUUUGUACAUAUAUUCAUGAACGUUAAAUUUUCGUAUAAUUCUAAUUAAUCGUUCGUAUUCUAAUUAAUCGGUGAAUGGUACCCUUUUCGUUCGACAACCGUAUUCCGUCUUUCACAUGAUCGAACUCUCAAAGCGUCGAGGCUGAGUAGGGAGUGAUAUUCUCUAAAAAAAGGUUAGGGAGUAGUAAUAGAAACUACAAAGGGAACAUAUAUUGUAACGCGGUCUGUGUUAAGCAAACCAUUAUCCACCAGACAGAUAUAUAGUUAAUAGGAAAAAAAAGAAGAAAGAGGUCUUUCUCGCUUCAUAUAGGGUGUUAAACGGAGUGCAUCCAAAAGAACAUGUCUAAGAAGAGGGAAGAAUAACUAGUUUUCCAUCAUCCUGCAGCAAACAUGUACAGUGGCAAAUUAGAUCAUGUUAAUCCCGUAACUUCUGUUGCCCAUUCAAGUAUCAGAAAACACAGGGGCAGAUCAAUGUAUGUAUGAUAGAAUGGUUGAUCGUUCAAGCGACACGCAUCUUAAGUGUCAGACGUGACGAAAAUUUCCUAUCCGUCGUCCGUCUCCUCAUUGUGGCAGCAACGGGAAGUAAUCGUGCUUUCAUAUCAGUUGUUAGAAAAAUUUUACGCUGUCUGGAGGAACCAUCACCGAAUUAGCCUGCUGGCUGCUGGUUAACACGAAACGCGCAUCUACAAACUUCUGUAGUCCACGAGAGUGACUUCAUCAUCAGGAGCGUCAAGAUCUUUGUAGCUGCAUCCAACAUCAUGAAUUUAAAUUUUAGAGAGUUAGGCAACAGAAACUACAGCGAAGCAUAUCCAUAUGUUCGACACAAAGGUGUAUCAUGUUUUCUGCUUCCACAAUCAAAUGCAAUAGGACAAGAUCACAAGAGAAGCUGGCACAAAGUAGAAAGUAUAGUAGGGCAGUAAACCAGUGCAGAAACAGGCAAGGACAAGAGAGGAAGGAGCAUUGCAUAGUCAUUGGGAUCGUAUUUAGCAAAUCAUUUCGAAAGUGCAAAAACUAACCAUGUUGUUGUUAACGGAUUUUCAUUUCCUAACGUAUACCAAAUUUUAUCAAAGUAGGUCGGCGUCCUUCCGCGGACCCGGCAAUUUUUUUUUAUCAAAGUAUUAAGCUUAGUGUUCUUUAGGGGGAAAUUAAUCAAACUUUAGUUGAUCAGUACUGACCUUCGCAGACGACGAGGGUUAGGCGGACGAGGCGGAUACAUGGGCAUCACUGGUCGCAUCAUCUGCAUGACUACCUCUGGAGGUGCAGGAACAAAUGGACCCAAUGGACUGAAACCAAGACAACCAUAGUUAGAAUUGUGCCUGGACUUGAUAACUGACUUGUUUUUCCUUUUUGUAGAGUACUUAAUUGUUUAGCUAACUGGCAUAACAUAAUUAACCUACCCAGCACCAGGCACAGGUAUUAGUACUGGUGGAGUGGGCAUUUCAACGAAGGAACCCUGCCCGCCAAAAGCACCAGGCGUUAGUUCAGAAGGUGUAGGUCCUUGCUGCUCCUGCAAACCAGAACGGGCUUAUAAAUAAGGAUUAUACUGCAGGUUUAGGAUUUCAAUAACUAAUACACAACACUUUCAAGUUUCAAGUGAUACACUGCACGUUUAAUAUCCCCCAGCAAAUAUACUUGAAAUGCAAAAUUAAGAACAUUCAACACUAGAGAAGUUACAUGGAUUAUGAUGAAGAACGAACAGUAUCAAACAUCAGAGACUUCACAUACAUAAAUAUUACAAGAAGUAAAAUAUUGUCAUCGAUUACUCAUUAAUGUGGAAAUAAGGUGAAAGAUCUACAACAUAGAGCUUCACUAGUGACAGGUGAACACAACAAAUUAUGGAUUGAAUUUCUAUUGAUCUGUUAGUCAAACAUGGGACAUGGAAAAACAUUUCACAAACUCCUAAAGAAACAAACUGUUUUUAUGAUAAGCACAAACAACUAAAAAAUGAAAAUAAGCAUCUCAAAGGGGGAAAUUGCGGAAGAAAUUAACAAUCGGUGCAAUGUAAACCUUCUAAGACCGAGAAACAGUUCAGAUAAAUUAGUUUAGUUUCAGAGUUAAUUAAGAAUAGUAUUAUAGCUUUUCUCACCCCACCAUACAAACAAGAAGGGAAUGUUCUUAAGCAUAUCAGUGAAAAGGAACAAGCUAAACAGUGUAUAGUUUCUUACUGGUGAUUGUUGCUGCAUAACUGGUGUGCCACCUGGAGCAUUUGGAUCACUGCAUCAAAAGUAAACAACAACAGAAGCAUUACCUUUUGACAUGUCGGAAAUAACAAUUUGUCAUUUGCAUUUGGAGAUCUAAAUACAUACUUCAUAUAAUUUUGGAAAUAGAUAUCCUCUUGGACUCUUGAAGUCAAUUUGGAGACCAAAUCAGGAUGCUUGAGGUUCAGAUGUUUGAGAACAAAGUCAGGAGCAUGGAAAACUUUUAUACAUCCUUUGGCUCCACAGCCGUAUGUCCAUCCGUAGUUAUCAUCCUUAACCUUUGUGACAUAAGAUUCUAGAACUUUAUCAGCUGAUGCAUCAAUUUUAUCCUUGGCAGUCAAUGCAACUAGA
rnacentral:sRNA from 1 species